UCUCUUUCCUCUCCAGAAAAAAGGAUAACUGAUAUCUCAGGUUACUUUCUUUCCUCUCCAACUAUCACAAUUCAAUAAAAAAGCCAUAAGGUAAAAAGCCAUGAACAGGAAUUUGACACUAGUUGUGGCAGCGGCGACUCUAGUGGCACUCCUCUCCAUCCUCAUAGCGGAUCCCAUCAAUCUCUUUGUGCCACCUUCAUUACCAUCAUCUCAUGAUCAUCUCCACUCUGCAAAGGUCGUUCCCGUCGCCGGAGCUGUCGGACCGGAGAGCCUGGUCUUCGAUCCCAAUGGAGAAGGGCCCUACGCUGGUGUUGCUGAUGGAAGAAUUCUCAAGUGGCAAGGAGAUGGCGGCGGCUGGGUUGAUUUUGCCACUACUACUUCUAAUAGGAAGGAGUGCACUCGCCCAUUUGCACCAGAAUUGGAGCAUGUGUGUGGAAGGCCACUGGGACUACGGUUUGAUAAGAAAACUGGAAAUCUCUACAUAGCUGAUGCCUAUUUAGGUCUUCAAGUAGUAGGUCCAAAUGGAGGUUUAGCCAAGCCAGUGGUCUCUGAAGUUGAAGGCCAUCCCUUGCGCUUCACCAAUGAUUUGGAUAUUGAUGAGGAGGGAGAUGUGAUUUACUUCACAGAUACAAGCAAAAUCUUCCAACGAAGGCAAUUUAUAUCAUCAAUCUUGAAUAAAGACACAACUGGUAGAUUGCUGAAGUAUGAUAAAUCAAGCGCAGAAGUUACAAUUUUACUUGAAGGCCUUGCGUUUGCCAAUGGAGUAGCAUUGAGCAAGGACCACUCCUUUGUGCUAGUAGCUGAAACAACUGCUUGUCAGAUUUCAAGGUAUUGGCUUCAUGGUGCCAAUGCUGGAAAGGUUGAUAUUUUCGCAAAGCUUCCAGGAUUUCCAGACAAUAUUAGAAGAAAUUCAAAAGGGGAGUAUUGGGUAGCUUUGCAUUCCAAAAAAGGACUUUUUUCAAAGUUGGCUCUUUCAAAUUCAUGGAUUGGAAAGACACUGUUAAAACUUCCUCUUAGCUUUAAGCAACUUCAUUCACUGUUAAUAGGAGGGAGACCACAUGCAACUGCUAUAAAGCUAAGUGAGGAUGGGAAGGUUCUGAAAGUUUUAGAAGAUUGUGAUGGAAAGACAUUGAGGUUUAUAAGUGAAGUUGAACAGAAGGAUGGGAAGCUGUGGAUUGGAUCAGUACUGAUGCCUUUCCUUGGUGUUUAUGAUUUGUAGAAGAUAUGCAAUUAAUAGGUUAAAGGUUUUUAUGUAAUCUGUAUCCUUUUGCUUAAGGAGAAAACUUUUCUUUUUUUCAAAUGUCAGUGUCUUGUAAUUUUGUGCUUUUAACAUAUGAGGAGUAAGUUCUGUCAUUGAAGGCAUAUUAUUCACCUUAAAGGGUUGGAUUUGAGUCUCGUUCA
rnacentral:misc_RNA from 1 species